GGCCGCCUGGCGCAACGGUAGCGCGUCAGAUUCCAGUCUCUUGGAACCUCCUGAAGGUUACCUGUUCGAAUCAGGUGGUGGUCA